rnacentral:rRNA from 1 species
GAUUAUGGCUCAGAUUGAACGCUGGCGGCAGGCCUAACACAUGCAAGUCGAACGGUAGCACAGAGAGCUUGCUCUCGGGUGACGAGUGGCGGACGGGUGAGUAAUGUCUGGGAAACUGCCUGAUGGAGGGGGAUAACUACUGGAAACGGUAGCUAAUACCGCAUAACGUCGCAAGACCAAAGAGGGGGACCUUCGGGCCUCUUGCCAUCAGAUGUGCCCAGAUGGGAUUAGCUAGUAGGUGGGGUAACGGCUCACCUAGGCGACGAUCCCUAGCUGGUCUGAGAGGAUGACCAGCCACACUGGAACUGAGACACGGUCCAGACUCCUACGGGAGGCAGCAGUGGGGAAUAUUGCACAAUGGGCGCAAGCCUGAUGCAGCCAUGCCGCGUGUAUGAAGAAGGCCUUCGGGUUGUAAAGUACUUUCAGCGGGGAGGAAGGUGUUGUGGUUAAUAACCGCAGCAAUUGACGUUACCCGCAGAAGAAGCACCGGCUAACUCCGUGCCAGCAGCCGCGGUAAUACGGAGGGUGCAAGCGUUAAUCGGAAUUACUGGGCGUAAAGCGCACGCAGGCGGUCUGUCAAGUCGGAUGUGAAAUCCCCGGGCUCAACCUGGGAACUGCAUUCGAAACUGGCAGGCUGGAGUCUUGUAGAGGGGGGUAGAAUUCCAGGUGUAGCGGUGAAAUGCGUAGAGAUCUGGAGGAAUACCGGUGGCGAAGGCGGCCCCCUGGACAAAGACUGACGCUCAGGUGCGAAAGCGUGGGGAGCAAACAGGAUUAGAUACCCUGGUAGUCCACGCCGUAAACGAUGUCGAUUUGGAGGUUGUGCCCUUGAGGCGUGGCUUCCGGAGCUAACGCGUUAAAUCGACCGCCUGGGGAGUACGGCCGCAAGGUUAAAACUCAAAUGAAUUGACGGGGGCCCGCACAAGCGGUGGAGCAUGUGGUUUAAUUCGAUGCAACGCGAAGAACCUUACCUGGUCUUGACAUCCACAGAACUUUCCAGAGAUGGAUUGGUGCCUUCGGGAACUGUGAGACAGGUGCUGCAUGGCUGUCGUCAGCUCGUGUUGUGAAAUGUUGGGUUAAGUCCCGCAACGAGCGCAACCCUUAUCCUUUGUUGCCAGCGGUCAGGCCGGGAACUCAAAGGAGACUGCCAGUGAUAAACUGGAGGAAGGUGGGGAUGACG